AUUGAACGCUAGCGGCAUGCCUUACACAUGCAAGUCGAACGGCAGCACGGGGCAACCUGGUGGCGAGUGGCGAACGGGUGAGUAAUGUAUCGGAACGUGCCCAGUAGCGGGGGAUAACUACGCGAAAGCGUAGCUAAUACCGCAUACGCCCUACGGGGGAAAGGGGGGGAUCGCAAGACCUCUCACUAUUGGAGCGGCCGAUAUCGGAUUAGCUAGUUGGUGAGGUAAAGGCUCACCAAGGCUUCGAUCCGUAGCUGGUUUGAGAGGACGACCAGCCACACUGGGACUGAGACACGGCCCAGACUCCUACGAGAGGCAGCAGUGGGGAAUUUUGGACAAUGGGGGCAACCCUGAUCCAGCAAUGCCGCGUGUGCGAAGAAGGCCUUCGGGUUGUAAAGCACUUUUGGCAGGAACGAAACGGUGCCGGAUAAUACCUGGCGCCACUGACGGUACCUGCAGAAUAAGCACCGGCUAACUACGUGCCAGCAGCCGCGGUAA
rnacentral:rRNA from 1 species